AGUCUGCAACUCGAGUGCAUGAAGCUGGAAUCGCUAGUAAUCGCGGAUCAGAAUGCCGCGGUGAAUACGUUCCCGGGUCUUGUACACACCGCCCGUCACACCAUGGGAGUCGGGAAUGCCCGAAGCCGGUGGCCCAAUCUGUAAAGAAGGGAGCCGUCGAAGGCAGGCCGGAUGACUGGGGCUAAGUCGUAACAAGGUACC
rnacentral:rRNA from 1 species